rnacentral:rRNA from 1 species
UACAGGGGGUGCAAACGUUGCUCGGAAUUAUUGGGCGUAAAGCGCGCGUAGGCGGCUACUUAAGUCGGAUGUGAAAGCCCUUGGCUCAACUGAGGAAGUGCACCCGAAACUGAGUGGCUUGAGUACCAAAGAGGGUCGCGGAAUUCCCGGUGUAAGAGGUGAAAUUCGUAGAUAUCGGGAGGAACACCGGUGGCGAAGGCGGCGACCUGGGUCGGAUAC